rnacentral:rRNA from 1 species
AACGAGCGCUGGCGGCAGGCUUAACACAUGCAAGUCGAACGCCCCGCAAGGGGAGUGGCAGACGGGUGAGUAACGCGUGGGAAUCUACCCAGUUCUACGGAAUAACCCAGGGAAACUUGGACUAAUACCGUAUACGCCCUACGGGGGAAAGAUUUAUCGGAAUUGGAUGAGCCCGCGUGGGAUUAGCUAGUUGGUGGGGUAAUGGCCUACCAAGGCGACGAUCCAUAGCUGGUCUGAGAGGAUGAUCAGCCACACUGGCACUGAGACCCGGCCCAGACCACUACGGGGGGCAGCAGUGGGGCAUAUUGGACACUUGGCGCAAGCAUGAUCCAGCCAUGCCGCGUGAGUGAUGAAGUCCUUAGGGUUGUAAAGCUCUUACAGUGGGCAAGAUAAUGACGGUACCCACAGAAGAAGCCCCGGCUAACAUCGUGCCAGCCGCCGCCGUAACAC